GACGAACGCUGGCGGCGUGCUUAACACAUGCCAGUCGAACGGUGAACCUCUUCGGAGGGGAUCAGCGGCGAACGGGUGAGUAACACGUGGGCAACCUGCCCCCGGCUCUGGGAUAACUCCAAGAAAUUGGGGCUAAUACCGGAUGUUCACCGCUUCCCGCAUGGGUGGUGGUGGAAAGGGUUUCCGGCUGGGGAUGGGCCCGCGGCCUAUCAGCUUGUUGGUGGGGUAGUGGCCUACCAAGGCGACGACGGGUAGCCGGCCUGAGAGGGUGACCGGCCACACUGGGACUGAGACACGGCCCAGACUCCUACGGGAGGCAGCAGUGGGGAAUAUUGCGCAAUGGGCGGAAGCCUGACGCAGCGACGCCGCGUGGGGGAUGACGGCCUUCGGGUUGUAAACCUCUUUCAGCAGGGACGAAGCGCAAGUGACGGUACCUGCAGAAGAAGCACCGGCCAACUACGUG
rnacentral:rRNA from 1 species